GGGCCCGCACAAGCGGUGGAGCAUGUGGUUUAAUUCGAUGAUACGCGAGGAACCUUACCAGGGCUUAAAUGGGAGAUGACAGGGGCAGAGACGCCCUUUUCUUCGGACAUCUUUCAAGGUGCUGCAUGGUUGUCGUCAGCUCGUGCCGUGAGGUGUCAGGUUAAGUCCUAUAACGAGCGCAACCCCUACCGUUAGUUGCCAGCGAUUCAAGUCGGGGACUCUAACGGGACUGCCGGUGCAAACCGUGAGGAAGGUGGGGACGACGUCAAAUCAUCACGGCCCUUACGUCCUGGGCUACACACGUGCUACAAUGGUCGGUACAGAGGGAAGCUACCCCGUAAGGGGGAGCCAAUCCGACAAACCUAGUCGUAGUCCGGAUCGGAGUCUGCAACUCGACUCCGUG
rnacentral:rRNA from 1 species